UUUCACGACCAAAUGAGCCCUGAAUAUGCCAGAUCUCGUCAGGUAUUCGAGGCUAAGCAGGUUUGGUCCUGGCUAGUACUUGAAUGGCAGACUGCUUGGGAACAACAUGUAUUGUAGGCU
rnacentral:rRNA from 1 species